rnacentral:tRNA from 1 species
UCCAGCGUUGGGGAAUUGGUAGACCCGCCGGUCACAACCGCCCUGCCUCGGCAGAUUGCAAGUUCGAACCUUGCCGCUGGAC